GUCAGUAGUUCUCUGGUAAAUGGUAGAAUGGGUGAAUGAUCUGCAUAGUCAUAAAGAAUAGUUAGUACCAGACUUAGUAGCAAUACAUAUUUGUGCCUCCUGUCAAUCCCUUAACCAUGUUAUGACCUCAUGGUGAACCCACUAGGUUGUACAGGAGAAAAUGACACUGGCGUUGUUUUCUGUCCUCUGUGAUGGGCAUAAUAAAAGUGUUUCUGAUAUGUUCUGUACUGAAACAUAAUUCUAAGUUUGUUUUCUUUUUCUUUGACAUUAGUCAUUACGGCAGAGUUGUGGACUUGGAAAGCAUCCGGAAAGUAUAAUAAUUUAGUUGAACCCUUUGUUUUCCGCCAUGUAGAAACUGAAGUACCGGUAGAUUCAACGUUCACCUAAGAAGAUGCACUCCUACUUUCUUUAUGGAGUACUUGUGCAAUUGUUGAAAGUUAAAUAAAAAUGAACAAAUCCACCUACUUAAUCCACCCAAUCCCAACCCAAGAGAAAAAACAAGCAGCCGGUGUGGAUAUUUUGCUCUUACAGCGCCUUCAGCAAUCUGACCGAGGGUCUCGCAUCGUGUCAAUAUUGUGUUCUGCUGGUGUAAUAAUCGCUAUGGAGUUCUCUGGAGACCACACCUGGCUGGCUGUGUUGAGUUCUGAGCCUCUCAAUUGCAUGCAAGAGGCUGGAAAGAUUUGAGAGAAGAUUGCUAAAAGUACUUCAGGGGCCCUGGAGGCACUGAUUUAGGAGGCGGAGGAAAGACAUACAUGCGAAUAUGUCAACCCUGCACUAACUAAAUAGAGAAUGUAGAGAAAACAGACUUCCGGUUUAUGAAGAACCGAAAUACCAGAAACAUCCCAAAGGGUAAGUGAGACCCCCUUAGGAGGCAUGGAGUAGGGGGUGGGGUGGAAAGUGUAUGGUGCAUGGAUUUCUGGGCAGUAUAAUUCUGCCUAAAAAUGAUGAAGAAAGUGGAAUCUGAUUAACCUGGCCUAAGAAUUAAGAAGGGUGUUCACCCCAGGUCUGCCAAACCUUGAGCAAAUAUUUAACAAAGGGAAAGGGGAAGAAUAAGAGGAGAGUUUUGGCUGAUGGCGUGAUGUGCUAAGGUUUAAGAUAUCUUUUUCAUGUGUGUUGAGACUACUGUUAUGCAAAGCAGUCUGGAAAACUGACCGGAAAAAUCAUGUAAAAGAGAGGAGUUUGAUGGGGCAGUGUGGAAAGAGAAUGGAAUUUCGAGUCUAAGAUUUCCAGUUUUUGAGCACUGACUCUGCUGACUUACGGCUCAUUAAUCCCCUUGUAUGAGUUUUAGUUUCCCUCCCUAGAAAAAAUGGGGAAAUGGCCCCUCUGAGUAGUUGUGAAAAUCAAAUGGGAUAGUGCACAUUAAUGCCCAGGACUUGUGGCCUCUAAGGAGCUCUAUUUCAGGAGAUUCAGUUCAUAGGACUUGUGAGUAUUUAAAUGCAGGCGCUGAGGGAAACGGAGACACAGCAUUCAGCAAUCCUAACCUAUCUUAAGCCAUUUCUGCUGCUCUUUCUUCCAUUUAGGCUAAGUGCUCACCGAUCUAAUUUGCUGCAGAUACUUACUGAC
rnacentral:lncRNA from 1 species